GCGAAGGCAGCUCACUAAGCUGGUAUUGACGCUGAUGCACGAAAGCGUGGGGAUCRAACAGGAUUAGAUACCCUGGUAGUCCACGCCCUAAACGAUGAUAACUMGAUGUUGGCGAUAKACAGCCWGCGUCCMASCGAAAGCGUUAAGUUAUCCACCUGGGGAGUACGCCSGCAAGGGUG
rnacentral:rRNA from 1 species